CAGUCGCCGCGGGAAUACGUAGGUCCCGAGCGUUGUCCGGAUUUAUUGGGCGUAAAGCGAGCGCAGGCGGUUAGAUAAGUCUGAAGUUAAAGGCUGUGGCUUAACCAUAGUACGCUUUGGAAACUGUUUAACUUGAGUGCAGAAGAGGAGAGUGGAAUUCCACGUGUAGCGGUGAAAUGCGUAGAGAUGUGGAGGAACACCAGUGGCGAAGGCGACUCUCUGGUCUGUAACUGACGCUGAGGAGCGAAAGCGUGGGGAGCGAACAGGAUUAGAGACCCCGGUAGUCCCUGUCUCUUAUACA
rnacentral:rRNA from 1 species